UACGAAGGGGGCUAGCGUUGCUCGGAAUCACUGGGCGUAAAGGGUGCGUAGGCGGGUUUUUAAGUCAGGGGUGAAAUCCUGGAGCUCAACUCCAGAACUGCCUUUGAUACUGAAAAUCUUGAGUUCGGGAGAGGUGAGUGGAACUGCGAGUGUAGAGGUGAAAUUCGUAGAUAUUGGGAAGAACACCAGUGGCGAAGGCGGCUAACUGGUCCGAUACUGACGCUGAGGUGCGAAAGCGUGGGGAGCAAACAGG
rnacentral:rRNA from 1 species